rnacentral:rRNA from 1 species
UACGUAGGGCGCAAGCGUUGUCCGGAAUUAUUGGGCGUAAAGAGCGCGUAGGCGGCUUGUCAAGUCGGGGGUGAAAGCCCGGGGCUUAACCCCGGUUCUGCAUUCGAUACGGGCUGGCUAGAGUGUGGUAGGGGAGAUCGGAAUUCCUGGUGUAGCGGUGAAAUGCGCAGAUAUCAGGAGGAACACCGGUGGCGAAGGCGGAUCUCUGGGCCAUUACUGACGCUGAGGAGCGAAAGCGUGGGGAUCGAACAGG